rnacentral:rRNA from 1 species
ACAGAGGUGGCUAGCGUUGUUCGGAAUUACUGGGCGUAAAGGGAGCGCAGGCGGCUAAAUCAGUCUGAAGUGCAAGCCCGGGGCUCAACCCCGGAAUCGCUUUGGAUAUUGUUUGGCUUGAGUAUGUCAGAGGUGAGCGGAAUUCCAGGUGUAGCGGUGAAAUGCGUAGAUAUCUGGAGGAACAUCCGUGGCGAAGGCGGCUCACUGGGACAACACUGACGCUGAGGCUCGAAAGCGUGGGGAGCGAACGGG